rnacentral:rRNA from 1 species
GACGAACGCUGGCGGCGUGCUUAACACAUGCAAGUCGAGCGGAAAGGCCCUUCGGGGUACUCGAGCGGCGAACGGGUGAGUAACACGUGAGUAACCUGCCCCAGACUUUGGGAUAACCCUCGGAAACGGGGGCUAAUACCGGAUACGACACAGCUUUGCAUGGGGUCUGUGUGGAAAGUUUUUCGGUUUGGGAUGGGCUCGCGGCCUAUCAGCUUGUUGGUGGGGUGAUGGCCUACCAAGGCGACGACGGGUAGCCGGCCUGAGAGGGCGACCGGCCACACUGGGACUGAGACACGGCGCAGACUCCUACGGGAGGCAGCAGUGGGGAGUAUUGCACAAUGGGCGGAAGCCUGAUGCGACGACGCCGCGUGAGGGAUGACGGCCUUCGGGUUGUAAACCUCUUUCAGCAGGGACGAAGCGUAAGUGACGGUACCUGCAGAAGAAGCGCCGGCCAACUACGUG